GAUGAACGCUAGCGGCAGGCCUAAUACAUGCAAGUCGAACGAGAUUAAGAGGCUUGCUUCUUAUGAAAGUGGCGCACGGGUGCGUAACGCGUAUGCAACCUACCUUAAUCAGGGGGAUAGCCCGAAGAAAUUCGGAUUAAGACCGCAUAAAAACACAGGAUAGCAUUAUCCAAUGUUCAAAUAUUUCUAGGUUUAUGAUGGGCAUGCGUGUCAUUAGCUAGUUGGCGGGGUAACGUCCCACCAAGGCGACGAUGACUAGGGGAUCUGAGAGGAUGACCCCCCACACUGGUACUGAGACACGGACCAGACUCCUACGGGAGGCAGCAGUAAGGAAUAUUGGGCAAUGGAGGGAACUCUGAACCAGCCAUGCCGCGUGCAGGAAGACAGCCCUCUGGGUAGUAAACUGCUUUUAUUCGGGAAUAAACCUUUCUACGUGUAGGAAGCUGAAUGUACCGAAGGAAUAAGGAUCGGCUAACUCCGUG
rnacentral:rRNA from 1 species